rnacentral:rRNA from 1 species
GACGAACGCUGGCGGCGUGCCUAACACAUGCAAGUCGAGCGAGUGAAUCUCCUUCGGGAGUGAAGCUAGCGGCGGACGGGUGAGUAACACGUGGGCAACCUGCCUCAUAGAGGGGAAUAGCCUUUCGAAAGGAAGAUUAAUACCGCAUAAGAUUGUAGCUUCGCAUGAAGUAGCAAUUAAAGGAGCAAUCCGCUAUGAGAUGGGCCCGCGGCGCAUUAGCUAGUUGGUGAGGUAACGGCUCACCAAGGCGACGAUGCGUAGCCGACCUGAGAGGGGGAUCGGCCACAUUGGGACUGAGACACGGCCCAGACUCCUACGGGAGGCAGCAGUGGGGAAUAUUGCACAAUGGGGGAAACCCUGAUGCAGCAACGCCGCGUGAGUGAUGACGGCCUUCGGGUUGUAAAGCUCUGUCUUCAGGGACGAUAAUGACGGUACCUGAGGAGGAAGCCACGGCUAACUACGUGCCAGCCGCCGCCAUAACGA